CGAGUUUGAUCCUGGCUCAGAGCGAACGCUGGCGGCGUACUUAACACAUGCAAGUCGAACGGGGAUCAUUGUGUGAGCAAUCAUGUGAUGGUCCUAGUGGCGCACGGGUGAGUAACACGUGGGUAACCUGCCCUCGAGACCGGGAUACCCCUUCGAAAGGGGGGCUAAUACCGGAUACGUUCCCCGGGUCGAAAGAUCUGAGGAAGAAAGGUGGCGCAAGCUGCCGCUCUUGGAGGGGCUCGCGGCCUAUCAGCUAGUUGGCGGGGUAACGGCCCACCGAGGCUAUGACGGGUAGCUGGUCUGAGAGGACGACCAGCCACACGGGGACUGAGACACGGCCCCGACUCCUACGGGAGGCAGCAGUGGGGAAUUUUCCGCAAUGGGCGAAAGCCUGACGGAGUGACGCCGCGUGUGGGAGAAGGCCUUCGGGUCGUAAACCACUGUCAGUGGGAAAGAUGGGUGUCGGCGCGAUAACCGCCGACAUUUGACGGUACCUGCAGAGGAAGCCCCGGCUAACUCUGUGCCAGCAGCCGCGGUAAGACAGAGGGGGCAAGCGUUGCUCGGAAUUACUGGGCGUAAAGGGCGCGUAGGCGGGAUGGCAAGUCGGUCGUGAAAUCCCUCGGCUCAACUGAGGAGCGUCGAUCGAAACCGCCGUUCUUGAGGGUUGCAGAGGAGACUGGAAUUCCCGGUGUAGCGGUGAAAUGUGUAGAGAUCGGGAGGAACACCGGUGGCGAAGGCGGGUCUCUGGGCAACUCCUGACGCUGAGGCGCGAAAGCGUGGGGAGCAAACGGGAUUAGAUACCCCGGUAGUCCACGCUGUAAACGAUGACGACUAGGUGUGGGGGGGUUCAGUCCCUUCCGUGCCGCAGCUAACGCAUUAAGUCGUCCGCCUGGGGAGCACGGCCGCAAGGUUGAAACUCAAAGGAAUUGACGGGGGCCCGCACAAGCGGUGGAGCAUGUGGUUCAAUUCGAUGCAGGGCGAAGAACCUUACCUGGGCUUGACAUGUAGGAAGUAGAAACCGGAAACGGGGACGACCUGUUAAGUCAGGAGCCUACACAGGUGGUGCAUGGCUGUCGUCAGCUCGUGCCGUGAGGUGUUGGGUUAAGUCCCGCAACGAGCGCAACCCUCACCCUAUGUUGCCAUCGGGUUAUGCCGGGCACUCUUAGGGAACUGCCGGCGAAGAGCUGGAGGAAGGAGGGGG
rnacentral:rRNA from 1 species